CCAUCGGCAUCUCACCAUGUGCGCCGCAUCGCACGGCAGCCCGGAAGCAAACAGAACGACUACACUCACAAGGAACCAUGAAGCCAACGAUCCACGUCAACUAGAUGUUUUAGCUUUCAUUUUGUAUAACUGAUGUCUCAUACUUGCAUCUUUUGGCUGUCCUUUUGUAAACCUGAUGUAUGGUGUCUCAGUGGUUUUGUUUAGAACAGAUUGAAAUGUAUGUAUGUGUCAAUUACUUAAUGGAAUAAAAAAUGUUUGAUGGUCCCGAUGUGAGCCUGA